rnacentral:rRNA from 1 species
AGUGAACGCUGGCGGUAGGCCUAACACAUACAAGUCGAACGGCAGCACAGUAAGAGCUUGCUCUUACGGGUGGCGAGUGGCGGACGGGUGAGGAAUACAUCGGAAUCUACUUUUUCGUGGGGGAUAACGUAGGGAAACUUACGCUAAUACCGCAUACGACCUACGGGUGAAAGCAGGGGAUCUUCGGACCUUGCGCGAUUGAAUGAGCCGAUGUCGGAUUAGCUAGUUGGCGGGGUAAAGGCCCACCAAGGCGACGAUCCGCAGCUGGUCUGAGAGGAUGAUCAGCCACACUGGAACUGAGACACGGUCCAGACUCCUACGGGAGGCAGCAGUGGGGAAUAUUGGACAAUGGGCGCAAGCCUGAUCCAGCCAUACCGCGUGGGUGAAGAAGGCCUUCGGGUUGUAAAGCCCUUUUGUUGGGAAAGAAAAGCAGCAGGUUAAUACCCCGCUGUUCUGACGGUACCCAAAGAAUAAGCACCGGCUAACUUCGUG